AAAACGGCCCUUUUUAGGGCCACGCAAAUUUGAUUUAUUUUUCUUU
rfam:Echinostoma caproni strain Egypt genome assembly, scaffold: ECPE_contig0005792